rnacentral:misc_RNA from 1 species
UAAUUGGUCAAGAAUCCAACUCGUCAAGUCCUCGAUCGAAACCAAUUUCUUCAUUCGAUCGGAGUCUCAUCGAAGAGUGUAAAUUCAACAAUUGAUACCUCCCUUGGAAAUCGUAUGGAUUUGCGUGAUCGGAACUUAAGUCUUUGGAAACGUCUUCUCUGGAUCCUAAUGACACGGCUUCUUGGGUCCAUAUGCUAAUCUUCUGUUACACUCUCUUUGAGAAAUACAUCCGGGUGAAGAGGUAUCCCUGGUUCUCACGUAACCAUCUAUACAGGAACAUCCUGGUACGCAUUGCUUGAGACAAAAUCUUAGGGGAUUUUGGCAAUCCGCUGGACAAGCCGAUCCGCAAGGUAGCCAUACCUUUCCGGGUUCGCAAUCGGUUUCAUUUGAACCUGCGGGAGGCGAAUAUAUCGAUAAACUUUCCAGCCAGACGACGAGUGAGAAAUUCGGAAAACUCUUUCACUUACCGGCAGCUCGAGCAACUGUGCAAAAGAUUAAGAUUAUCGUUAUUACUUUCCAAGACAUUCUGAUUACGUCUGUUGAAUGCACUUCUUCGACUCAGCCUUUUAUACAUCGUCUCGUGCAAUUAUGACCCGGGCGAAAGGUUUCCUGGAACUUUUGACGAUAAAAAAUAUGAUAAGCUUUGGCUAUAACGCGUCAUCGAAUUUACG